UACGUAGGGUGCAAGCGUUAUCCGGAAUUAUUGGGCGUAAAGAGCUCGUAGGCGGUUUGUCGCGUCUGCUGUGAAAACUGGAGGCUCAACCUCCAGCCUGCAGUGGGUACGGGCAGACUAGAGUGCGGUAGGGGAGAUUGGAAUUCCUGGUGUAGCGGUGGAAUGCGCAGAUAUCUGGAGGAACACCGGUGGCGAAGGCGGCAUCCUGGACCGGUAUUGACACUGAGGCGCGAAAGCCAGGGGAGCAAACGGG
rnacentral:rRNA from 1 species